rnacentral:tRNA from 1 species
GAGGGUAUAGCUCAAGUGGUAGAGCGCGUGCUUAGCAUACACCGUGUCCUGGGUUCAAUCCCCAGCACCUCCU